GGAAGGGCAAGCCGAUUGGCCGACGGCACCCGUCUCGAAAACGGGCGAGGCUCACGCCCUUGGGGGUUCGAUUCCCCCUCCUUCCG
rnacentral:tRNA from 1 species